rnacentral:rRNA from 1 species
CUUCUUUUUCCCCGGAGCUUGCUCCACCGGAAAAAGAAGAGUGGCGAACGGGUGAGUAACACGUGGGUAACCUGCCCAUCAGAAGGGGAUAACACUUGGAAACAGGUGCUAAUACCGUAUAACAAUCGAAACCGCAUGGUUUUGAUUUGAAAGGCGCUUUCGGGUGUCGCUGAUGGAUGGACCCGCGGUGCAUUAGCUAGUUGGUGAGGUAACGGCUCACCAAGGCCACGAUGCAUAGCCGACCUGAGAGGGUGAUCGGCCACAUUGGGACUGAGACACGGCCCAAACUCCUACGGGAGGCAGCAGUAGGGAAUCUUCGGCAAUGGACGAAAGUCUGACCGAGCAACGCCGCGUGAGUGAAGAAGGUUUUCGGAUCGUAAAACUCUGUUGUUAGAGAAGAACAAGGAUGAGAGUAACUGUUCAUCCCUUGACGGUAUCUAACCAGAAAGCCACGGCUAACUACGUGCCAGCAGCCGCGGUAAUACGUAGGUGGCAAGCGUUGUCCGGAUUUAUUGGGCGUAAAGCGAGCGCAGGCGGUUUCUUAAGUCUGAUGUGAAAGCCCCCGGCUCAACCGGGGAGGGUCAUUGGAAACUGGGAGACUUGAGUGCAGAAGAGGAGAGUGGAAUUCCAUGUGUAGCGGUGAAAUGCGUAGAUAUAUGGAGGAACACCAGUGGCGAAGGCGGCUCUCUGGUCUGUAACUGACGCUGAGGCUCGAAAGCGUGGGGAGCAAACAGGAUUAGAUACCCUGGUAGUCCACGCCGUAAACGAUGAGUGCUAAGUGUUGGAGGGUUUCCGCCCUUCAGUGCUGCAGCUAACGCAUUAAGCACUCCGCCUGGGGAGUACGACCGCAAGGUUGAAACUCAAAGGAAUUGACGGGGGCCCGCACAAGCGGUGGAGCAUGUGGUUUAAUUCGAAGCAACGCGAAGAACCUUACCAGGUCUUGACAUCCUUUGACCACUCUAGAGAUAGAGCUUCCCCUUCGGGGGCAAAGUGACAGGUGGUGCAUGGUUGUCGUCAGCUCGUGUCGUGAGAUGUUGGGUUAAGUCCCGCAACGAGCGCAACCCUUAUUGUUAGUUGCCAUCAUUCAGUUGGGCACUCUAGCAAGACUGCCGGUGACAAACCGGAGGAAGGUGGGGAUGACGUCAAAUCAUCAUGCCCCUUAUGACCUGGGCUACACACGUGCUACAAUGGGAAGUACAACGAGUCGCGAAGUCGCGAGGCUAAGCUAAUCUCUUAAAGCUUCUCUCAGUUCGGAUUGUAGGCUGCAACUCGCCUACAUGAAGCCGGAAUCGCUAGUAAUCGCGGAUCAGCACGCCGCGGUGAAUACGUUCCCGGGCCUUGUACACACCGCCCGUCACACCACGAGAGUUUGUAACACCCGAAGUCGGUGAG